CACAAUGCAAAUAACCCUGAGGUGAGCUAAAUAUGACAUAAAACUGAUAUAGUCAAAAAUACCUUUCAUUGUUUCGGUGAAAUUAUUUGAUUGGCGAUAAAGGUUUUGCUCAUUUGCAAAAGGAAACUCUAAAACAAACUAAAUAUGAGAAUUUAACACAGCUGGGGUGCGACCUGUGCCCAAAGAAAUCCAGUAGGAAAAGUGACUUUGGUUGCUUUCACACCGUUUGGUCCAGAACAGGGACCAAAAUGUUCCAGUGCUGCACUUUAACCCCUUUCACGUCACAAAAUUUAAAAAGGGAACAAAGGGUGUAAAGAAAAACCAGGUGUGUGCCCCUCAUUGGUCAGAGGUGUGUUGAUGUUUCGGGGUUUAUGCUCAGAGAUGCUCAGAGCUCAGUGAAUAACGUUCAGAGAAAAAUUUCACCGGUGUAUCGCACGAUGUCACAUCAAAAAACAAACAAAUAAGCAAACAAACAACACAAGGACACAGCUACAGGUGCGAGACGUCUCUGCGCAUGCUGUUUAGCGCUGAGUGCGUGGUGCAUUAACACUUUGAGCAGCUACAACACAACCUAGUAGAAUUAACAAUAUACUGCAGUGUUUAUUUAAUUACCAGAGACAUAACGGAGUCAGAAACGAGGGAAGGAAAUGUUUUUUUUUGGCGGAUCCAUUCAGAUUACUGUUGUGAAAAAUUCCAAAGUAAAAUUAUGCUGUCAACAAUGAAAUUUCUGAACAAAUAAAUCCAGUUUUCUUUUAAAUUUUUUCCAUUCAAAUAGUGCUCCCAAAGUCUGACUUAACAAGCACAUAAUCAUCAGCGGAGUCGAGUUUGACUCUGUUUGUUGCUUUGAGCUCAUCUUUAA